AGCAGUAAGGCUGAGUAUUAGGCAAAUCCGGUACUCGUUAAGGCUGAGCUGUGAUGGGGAGAAGACAUUGUGUCUUCGAGUCGUUGAUUUCACACUGCCGAGAAAAGCCUCUAGAUAGAAAAUAGGUGCCCGUACCGCAAACCGACACAGGUAGUCAAGAUGAGAAUUCUAAGGUGAGCGAGCGAACUCUCGUUAAGGAACUCGGCAAAAUGACCCCGUAACUUCGGGAGAAGGGGUGCUCUUUAGGGUUAACGCCCAGAAGAGCCGCAGUGAAUAGGCCCAAGCGACUGUUUAUCAAAAACACAGGUCUCUGCUAAACCGUAAGGUGAUGUAUAGGGGCUGACGCCUGCCCGGUGCUGGAAGGUUAAGAGGAGUGGUUAGCUUCUGCGAAGCUACGAAUCGAAGCCCCAGUAAACGGCGGCCGUAACUAUAACGGUCCUAAGGUAGCGAAAUUCCUUGUCGGGUAAGUUCCGACCCGCACGAAAGGCGUAACGAUUUGGGCACUGUCUCAACGAGAGACUCGGUGAAAUCAUAGUACCUGUGAAGAUGCAGGUUACCCGCGACAGGACGGAAAGACCCCGUGGAGCUUUACUGUAGCCUGAUAUUGAAAUUCGGCACAGCUUGUACAGGAUAGGUAGGAGCCUUUGAAACGUGAGCGCUAGCUUACGUGGAGGCGCUGGUGGGAUACUACCCUAGCUGUGUUGGCUUUCUAACCCGCACCACUUAUCGUGGUGGGAGACAGUGUCAGGCGGGCAGUUUGACUGGGGCGGUCGCCUCCUAAAAGGUAACGGAGGCGCUCAAAGGUUCCCUCAGAAUGGUUGGAAAUCAUUCAUAGAGUGUAAAGGCAUAAGGGAGCUUGACUGCGAGACCUACAAGUCGAGCAGGGUCGAAAGACGGACUUAGUGAUCCGGUGGUUCCGCAUGGAAGGGCCAUCGCUCAACGGAUAAAAGCUACCCCGGGGAUAACAGGCUUAUCUCCCCCAAGAGUUCACAUCGACGGGGAGGUUUGGCACCUCGAUGUCGGCUCAUCGCAUCCUGGGGCUGUAGUCGGUCCCAAGGGUUGGGCUGUUCGCCCAUUAAAGCGGUACGCGAGCUGGGUUCAGAACGUCGUGAGACAGUUCGGUCCCUAUCCGUCGUGGGCGUAGGAAAUUUGAGAGGAGCUGUCCUUAGUACGAGAGGACCGGGAUGGACAUACCUCUGGUGUACCAGUUGUCGUGCCAACGGCAUAGCUGGGUAGCUAUGUGUGGACGGGAUAAGUGCUGAAAGCAUCUAAGCAUGAAGCCCCCCUCAAGAUGAGAUUUCCCAACUUCGGUUAUAAGAUCCCUCAAAGAUGAUGAGGUUAAUAGGUUCGAGGUGGAAGCAUGGUGACAUGUGGAGCUGACGAAUACUAAUCGAUCGAAGACUUAAUCAA
rnacentral:rRNA from 1 species